GAUGAACGCUGGCGGCGUGCUUAACACAUGCAAGUCGAACGGUGAAGCAGAGCUUGCUCUGUGGAUCAGUGGCGAACGGGUGAGUAACACGUGAGCAAUCUGCCCCUGACUCUGGGAUAAGCGCUGGAAACGGCGUCUAAUACUGGAUACGAGCCGUGAAGGCAUCUUCAACGGUUGGAAAGAUUUUUCGGUCAGGGAUGAGCUCGCGGCCUAUCAGCUUGUUGGUGAGGUAAUGGCUCACCAAGGCGUCGACGGGUAGCCGGCCUGAGAGGGUGACCGGCCACACUGGGACUGAGACACGGCCCAGACUCCUACGGGAGGCAGCAGUGGGGAAUAUUGCACAAUGGGCGCAAGCCUGAUGCAGCAACGCCGCGUGAGGGAUGACGGCCUUCGGGUUGUAAACCUCUUUUAGCAGGGAAGAAGCGAAAGUGACGGUACCUGCAGAAAAAGCGCCGGCUAACUACGUGCCAGCAGCCGCGGUAACAC
rnacentral:rRNA from 1 species